rnacentral:rRNA from 1 species
UACGUAGGGUGCAAGCGUUAUCCGGAAUUAUUGGGCGUAAAGAGCUCGUAGGCGGUUUGUCACGUCUGCUGUGAAAACUGGAGGCUCAACCUCCAGCCUGCAGUGGGUACGGGCAGACUAGAGUGCGGUAGGGGAGAUUGGAAUUCCUGGUGUAGCGGUGGAAUGCGCAGAUAUCAGGAGGAACACCGGUGGCGAAGGCGGGUCUCUGGGCCGUAACUGACGCUGAGGAGCGAAAGCAUGGGGAGCGAACAGG